rnacentral:lncRNA from 1 species
GAAAAUGAAUUUGGUUAAAAAGUAACGUGCUUGAGGAGUGACAAUGGUGGUGAGUUUAUGUCAACAGAUUUCUUUCAGCUUUGUUAGAAGAAUGACAUUCAGAGAUAAUGACAUAUCCCAAUACCUCUUAGUAUAAUGAGGCUGCAGCAAGAAAGUUGACACUUAUGGCCUCAACAAGUCUUGCAUGACUACAUGACCAAAAUCUCCCUCAAGAGCUUUAGGCUGAAACUUUUCAGUGUACAUGUCAUGUAAUAAAUUAUUUACCUAACAUGAUUCUUCUUUUCAGAUCUU